GUGUCAGCCGCCGCGGUAACACGUAGGGUGCAAGCGUUGUCCGGAAUUAUUGGGCGUAAAGAGCUCGUAGGCGGCUUGUCGCGUCGACUGUGAAAACCUAGGGCUCAACCCUGGGCCUGCAGUCGAUACGGGCAGGCUUGAGUGUGGUAGGGGAGACUGGAACACCUGGUGUAGCGGUGAAAUGCGCAGAUAUCAGGUAGAACACCGGUGGCGAAGGCGGGUCUCUGGGCCAUUACUGACGCUGAGGAGCGAAAGCGUGGGGAGCGAACAGGAUUAGAAACCCUAGUAGUCC
rnacentral:rRNA from 1 species